rnacentral:rRNA from 1 species
CGCUAUCACUCCUACGGGAGGCAGCAGUGGGGAAUAUUGCACAAUGGGCGCAAGCCUGAUGCAGCCAUGCCGCGUGUAUGAAGAAGGCCUUCGGGUUGUAAAGUACUUUCAGCAGUGAGGAAGGUGGUAGUGUUAAUAGCACUAUCAUUUGACGUUAGCUGCAGAAGAAGCACCGGCUAACUCCGUGCCAGCAGCCGCGGUAAUACGGAGGGUGCGAGCGUUAAUCGGAAUUACUGGGCGUAAAGCGCAUGCAGGCGGCCUGUUAAGUCAGAUGUGAAAGCCCGGGGCUUAACCUCGGAAUUGCAUUUGAAACUGGCAGGCUAGAGUCUUGUAGAGGGGGUAGAAUUUCAGGUGUAGCGGUGAAAAUGCGUAGAGAUCUGAAGGAAUACCAGUGGCGAAGGCGGCCCCCUGGACAAAGACUGACGCUCAGAUGCGAAAGCGUGGGGAGCAAACAGGAUUAGAUACCCUGGUAG